GGAAGACAAUUUCAGCAGCACCAACUAACCACAGGCAUUAACAUAAAAACAAGUACAAAGUUGACAACACCGGGAGAAGCUCAAAGUAAAGCCACUGUUCCGCCACAUUAAGCGGUGUCAGAUGAGGUGAUUCGGGCAUCUGGUCAGAAUGCCUCCCUAAGGAGGUGUUUUGGUCACGUCCGACCGGUAGUAGGCCACAAGAAGACCCAGGACAUGUUGGGAAGACUAUGUCUCCCGGCUGGCCUGGGAACGCCUCGGAAUUCCCCGGUAAGAGCUGGACGAAGUGGCUGGGGAGAGGAGAGUCUGGGAUUCCCUGCUUAGGCUGCUGCCCCCGCGACCAGACCUCCGAUAAGCGGAAGAAGAUGGCUGGAUGGAUGGAUAGUGCAAAAGACUCAGCAGCAUCUGACCGGUACUGAAAGGCCAAGGUUUUCCAGCCGCCGAGACAAAAACUCGGACAUGGGUGGAGUUUGGGGGAAGCCAUGGAGAAUGACUUCUGGAAAGUUUUGAAGAGAUUCUGGACCAUAAUUCGCCAUCUCAGGAAGAGAAAGCAGUGCACUGUCACAGGUGUGUCCAAACUUUUGGCAAGGCAUGAAGCAAACAAUGACGCCAGGACGACUGACUGGCAAAGGUAAGCUUAAAUAAUGCUUCUGAUUAGUGGUCGACAGCAGGUGAGCGUGCCGACCACUAACCAGAGGCAGGUGAACCCAAUUCAUCCCCAUGGGGACCAAAAUAACCUAAAAGUGCUAAAAGCAGGAACAAGGGAGUCCAAAACUAACAGAAUAUAACUAAACAAAAACUACCAUAUAUAGAAGGAUGGAAAAUUCUGAAUGUGAAUUAUACUUUAAGGUAAUAAUGUUUUCUAAUCAUGCUGUAUGAAAAUGUCAUCCUAAGGAACACAAAACCAGAUUUAGUUUUUUGGAACAAUAUAAAAAUGUGUCCCAACCGUGUGAAUGUGAGUGUGAAUGUUUUCUGUCUAUCUGUGUUGGCCUUGCGAUGAGGUGGUGACUUGUCCAGGGUGUACCCCGCCUUCCGCCCGAAUGCAGCUGAGAUAGGCUCCAGCGACCCCGAAAGGGACAAGCUGUAGAAAAUGGAUGGAUGGAUGGAUAUUAGUUUUAACUAAGGAUGGAUACCAUACAGAAUCACAGUACUAUUAAUCCCAGGAUAUUUCACUUUUCACACUGCAAAAGUCAGUGUUCAAAAAGAAGAAGAAAAAAUACAAAAAUGACGGGUAUUUUAUUUGAACCAAGCAAAAUUAUCUACCAAUAGAACAAGAACAUUUGGCUUGUCAAAACUUUCCAAAACAAGUAAAAUUAGCUCACUUCAAUUAACCCAAAUAUACUUAAAAUAAGUAUAUUCUCACUAAUAACAAGUGCACUUUUCUCGGUAGAAAUAAAAAAAAGAGAGACUUUUUUGGUAGGUAGGUAGGUCUUUAUUGUCAUUGCAACACGUACAACGAAACUUUGUUUUCAGCACAUACCUGUUCAAGAUUAGACAAACAGUGUACAGGGUUACAGAACAAGAACGCUGAUGGGUCGCCAUAAGGCGCCCCGUAAAAGAUGGGAAAAAGGUAAACGCCGGGGAAGGAUGAGUAAAAAAAUACAAUCCAGACUGGGCUCCUAAAGGGGCCCAGUUCGGAGUGAGAAAAAACCUCCAUAGCAAAGCACAUAUACAUAUUACAACAUACAUCGCGAGAUAUCUAGCAACAGAGGGAAGGUAGUUCAAGGUCAUGGUGGUAAGCCGCAGCUCUCAGGCGCUGACCAUCCAUUCAUCACCCCUACGGGAUUUGCGUUGAGGGCGUUGGAUUAGAGGAACGUGGGGUGUAUGUGUGGCGUAUAUUUUUUUGUGGAUGUGUGUGUGUGUGUAUAUAAGCCCAUAGUGUGUCUCUGUUCCACGGCCUUGAUGUAUUUGCCGCCGCUAGUCCAAAGCCCAUGAGAGACAAAAAAGGGAGUUUGUUGUGUCUUCGCUGCAGCAAUCUUCGGGAGAGUCUCGAAGCCAAGGAAACAA